rnacentral:rRNA from 1 species
AAAGAACCCAAAUAUCUAAACGGAGAAAUUCAAUACUACCCUUAACGUGUAGUGUGCACUUUUCUCUUAGUAAGACGCCGUGAUCCAUUAGAAAUUGAUACAUACAAAAUGUAUAUUGGGUCAUCAAUAGGCCAGCAUGAAGUUUAUUGGAACAAAUGGCAUGAUCUUAUACGGUCGUGUGUAUUGUCUGGUAAGCAUAUUGUGUCCUGUAAUGACUGUCUGAUGGAUUUUAAAGAUGAUAUCAAUGAUGUUACGGCAUCACUUAUCAUUGAUAAGAGUACGAUAUCUAUCUGAUCAACGGUGGUUAAAUUUGGGAUACCUUUUGGACCCGUCUUGAAAC